rnacentral:rRNA from 1 species
GACNAACGCUGGCGGCGUGCUUAACACAUGCAAGUCGAACGAUGAAGCCCAGCUUGCUGGGUGGAUUAGUGGCGAACGGGUGAGUAACACGUGGGUGAUCUGCCCUGCACUUCGGGAUAAGCCUGGGAAACUGGGUCUAAUACCGGAUAGGACCUCGGGAUGCAUGUUCCGGGGUGGAAAGGUUUUCCGGUGCAGGAUGGGCCCGCGGCCUAUCAGCUUGUUGGUGGGGUAACGGCCCACCAAGGCGACGACGGGUAGCCGGCCUGAGAGGGCGACCGGCCACACUGGGACUGAGACACGGCCCAGACUCCUACGGGAGGCAGCAGUGGGGAAUAUUGCACAAUGGGCGCAAGCCUGAUGCAGCGACGCCGCGUGAGGGAUGACGGCCUUCGGGUUGUAAACCUCUUUCAGUACCGACGAAGCGCAAGUGACGGUAGGUACAGAAGAAGCACCGGCCAACUACGUGCCAGCAGCCGCGGUAAUACGUAGGGUGCGAGCGUUGUCCGGAAUUACUGGGCGUAAAGAGCUCGUAGGCGGUUUGUCGCGUCGUCUGUGAAAACCCGCAGCUCAACUGCGGGCUUGCAGGCGAUACGGGCAGACUUGAGUACUGCAGGGGAGACUGGAAUUCCUGGUGUAGCGGUGAAAUGCGCAGAUAUCAGGAGGAACACCGGUGGCGAAGGCGGGUCUCUGGGCAGUAACUGACGCUGAGGAGCGAAAGCGUGGGUAGCGAACAGGAUUAGAUACCCUUGGUAGUCCACGCCGUAAACGGNGGGCGCUAGGUGUGGGUUUCCUUNCACNG